rnacentral:rRNA from 1 species
AAUGAACGUUGGCGGCGUGGAUUAGGCAUGCAAGUCGUACGAGAAUCGUAGCAAUACGAGGAAAGUGGCGGAAGGGAGAGGAUUACGUGGGAAUCUACCCUCAGAACUGGGAUAGCGGCGGGAAACUGCCGGUAAUACCAGAUAAUGUCUGUGGACCAAAGGUGUGAUUCCGUCUGGGGAUGAGCCCACGUCCUAUUAGCUAGUUGGCAGGGGAAUGGCCUACCAAGGCAAUGAUGGGUAGCGGGUGUGAGAGCAUGACCCGCCUCACUGGGACUGGGAACUGCCCAGACACGUACGGGUGGCUGCAGUCGAGAAUCUUCGGCAAUGAGCGCAAGCUUGACCGAGCGACGCCGCGUGCGGGAUGAAGGCCUUCGGGUUGUAAACCGCUGUCGUAGGGGAGCAAGAGAUGAGGGUACUCCCUCUGAUUUGAGCGAUCCUAGGAGGAAGGACGGGCUAAGUUCGUGCCAGCCGCCGCAGUAAAAC